rnacentral:lncRNA from 1 species
AUCAUUCCAGGCCUGAAAUCAAAGCUCUCCUUUACUAUUUUCAGAAUCUCCUUGUCCGGAAUCUUUCCGGUGCCAUAACUGUCAACAAACACUGAUAGUGGCUCAGGAACACCGAUGGCAUAUGAGACCUGCACUAUGCACCUGCGAGCAAGACCACUGGCAACAAUGCUCUUAGCAGCCUGCCUAACAAUGUAGGCACCACUCCUGUCUACCUUGGUAGGGUCCUUGCCAGAGAAGGCACCACCACCAUGGGCUCCCCAACCACCAUAGGUGUCAAUGAUGAUUUUGCGGCCAGUGAGACCUGCAUCACCGUGAGGCCCACCGAUGACAAACCGACCUGAUGGGUUAAGAUGGAAAAUAGUCUUCUCAUCUAAGUACUUCUCAGGAACAACAGGCUUAAUGACAUGUUCUUUGAGGUCAGUAGCAAUUUCG